CAGUAGCCGCGGUAAUACGUAGGGUGCAAGCGUUAAUCGGAAUUACUGGGCGUAAAGCGUGCGCAGGCGGUUAUAUAAGACAGAUGUGAAAUCCCCGGGCUCAACCUGGGAACUGCAUUUGUGACUGUAUAGCUAGAGUACGGCAGAGGGGGAUGGAAUUCCGCGUGUAGCAGUGUAAUGCGUAGAUAUGCGGAGGAACACCGAUGGCGAAGGCAAUCCCCUGGGCCUGUACUGACGCUCAUGCACGAAAGCGUGGGGAGCAAACAGGAUUAGAUACCCGCGUAGUCCCUGUCUCUUAUAC
rnacentral:rRNA from 1 species